AUCAGAUGCUUAAAUACUAAAUACUAACUUACUUGAGGAUUUAAAAAAAAUUUUAUUCUCUCUCCCUAACUUAAUCGACAUUAUCUUCAACGGAGUAGAAAAAAUGAAGGAUGCAUAUAAAGAGAAAGAAAAUGAGAGAUAUUAUCUGAUCCAAAAAUCUUUUUCAAAAUUAAUUCUCCUCCCAACUUAGCCAAGAUUAUCUUCAGAUCCCUACGAAAGAUACUAAGUAAAACUCAAUUAACCUAAACAAAAUACAAAAGAAAAUAAAAAGUAAAAAUUGGGUUACCUCCCAAAAAGUGCUAAGUUUACCAUCUUCAACCAGACAAGCACAAAACUAAAAAUUAAAAACUGGGUUGCCUCUCAGGAAGUGCUAAGUUUACUGUCUCCAGCCAGACCAUGCUGAUUCUCUCACCU
rnacentral:lncRNA from 1 species